rnacentral:rRNA from 1 species
AAACAAAGAAACAAGCGAUAGAGGGAGGAAGAAGGGAAGAGAGAGAAGAAGGGAGGAGAGGGGGGGGGGGCGAAUUAUACGAGCCCCGUGAGGAAAUGUUGAAGCGCUCUUUGAAAAGAGAGCACAAGAGAGCGUGACCCUGUUAUAGUGAACGCGUAUAGGGGCGAUGUAUCCAGUGUGUACUCAGCUGUUGUGGGGGACAUUUUGGAUGUGAGAGUUUGUAAAGUGUCCGAGAUGCACAGUGUUGUUGCGAGGGGUGGCACAUUCGCGCACAGUGUGCGCCGUCUCUGUAAUUUUCGCUGUGAGAUAUUCGCAGAGGGGCCCUUUUUUGUGGAAACCUGGGCAAUUGGAUGGCAGAUGAGUUUGACUGUAAAUGGGUUGGUAUUUCGUGGUGGUGGUUGUGGAUUAGGGUUAUUUAUGUACGAUGCAUGCGUUUUGCACUUACGAUUCUGACCCACAACUAUUAUCUCCCAAUUCUGGAUUCGGUGUUUAGUCGCUCAUCUAUCUGACCCGUCUUGAAACACGGACCAAGGAGUUUAAGGUGUACGCAAGUCAUUGGCGGUUGAAAGUCAAAGGCGUAAUGAAAGUGGGACUACUGGUGCCUGGGAGGUAAGUUGGUUUCGUUUCGAUGAGGCCGACGCAACAUCGACCCAUGACUAGGACUUGUUCUGUUGUGGAGUCUGAGCGUACGCUUUGAGACCCGAAAGAUGGUGAACUAUGCCUUACAGGUACCAGUACCGAGGGGGU